GAUUUCUGGUUUGAUUUGCCUGUCCCGCCACGGUAACGUGUGUGAGUGACGGUUGUGAAUCGGCCAUCCUUCUAGAUAGCUGCGUUGGUGCAAAUCAGCGUACGUUGAUCUAGAUCGUUUACUUUGAAAAAAUUAGAGUGUUUCAAGCAGGCUACUUUGCUAUGAAUACAUUAGCAUGGAAUAAUAAUUUAGGACUUCGGUUCUAUUUUGUUGGUUUCUAGGACUGAAGUAAUGAUUGAUAGGGAUAGUUGGGGGUGCUAGUAUUCAGUAAGAAAGGGUGAAAUCUUUGGAUUUACUGAAGACUAACUUAUGCGAAAGCAUU
rnacentral:rRNA from 1 species